rnacentral:rRNA from 1 species
CCUACGGGAGGCAGCAGUGAGGAAUAUUGCGCAAUGGGGGCAACCCUGACGCAGCGACGCCGCGUGAGUGAGGAAGGCCUUCGGGUCGUAAAGCUCUGUCAAGAGGGAAGAAGUGCAUAGCGGGUAAUAGCCGUUAUGUUUGACGGUACCUCUAAAGGAAGCACCGGCUAACUCCGUGCCAGCAGCCGCGGUAAU